GGAGGACUCGGCGGGGUCAGAGAUCUGUGGCGCGCAGCGGGCUGUCGCCCCGAUUUCGACCGCAGCCCCCGGGCGGGAGGAGCGCUGAGCCGGGGAGGAGGCAGGAGGCAGGAGGUGCGCAUCUGGCUCUGCUGCCAGGACGCGAAUGACCAGGGGACAGACUCCGCAAAGGGAACAUCGCUGGAUAAGAUUUUAACGCUAAUGCCGAGCUAUCCCGGGGAGCUGCGGGCCAAGCACGCCAACAUGUCAACUAAGAUUUGGGUAAAAGUGGCCAUGGCGAUCGCCUAUUUCUUCUGCGUGUCCGUGGCCGCGUUCAUCCUGGUGAUUUACUACGUGUUUUUCUGGACACCAGACCCGCCGCACAACAUCACGAGCAGCGGGGCAGCGAACCGCACCGACUGCUUCUCGGUUUUAGGAUGACUUUGCUGCACGUGCGCCACAUCUGCACACGUUAUGUGGGUGAGCGCACACGCGCACCUGACACGCGGCUGCACCAGCGGCGGAUGGAGAAACAUGACUGCAGCUGUGUUCCGCAUGCAGGAGGUCGGGGGGGGCAUUUUGUUGUAUUUGUUGCAUUUCGUCCAGCCUUACCCGAACAUGCAGUCCUGUGGGGCUCUAUGUGUUUAGCAUGUUCUUGAAACUAGACGGGAAGGACAUGUUUGCUUCGCCAUCCACUCUUUUGUGUGUAUAUGUGUGCGUUAUAUUGGGGGUUCUUCGGAAAAGUCAUCCAUACAUCAUUUAACUGUUAUAAAUGUUAAAAUAUCAUUUCUGUGCUCCAAGUCCUGGACCUACACAUCAAGCUCUUAAUAGAUAUAAGCCAAAACCCUGAACCCCCCUGAGAACCUGCAGUUUCCUGAGGAACAUCUCCAGGAACCCUUUCAAGAACUUUUGAACCAUAACUCUGGUCUCCCAACCACCGAAGACCCCCUUCCUCGGGGUCCUCAAAUACCCCGUGGCACCUUGCUCAAAAAACUCUCAUCGAGACACGUUGAGGACCCCCGUACCUCCUUCCUGCCCAUUGGAGAUCCACCUCUCUGCACUAACGGAGAUUUCUUCUAUUCAUUUAUUUAGUUUUAAACAUGCCAAUGUGAAUGAUUGACUUGUUCUGUGUUUGCACAGCAGAAUGCUGUUUUUAUUCAGGUAUCUAGAGGAAUUUGAAGCGAUACUGUACUGUAGCAGAAGUAGCCUAAAUCUACUGGUAGCUCGUAGCUGUAUGGAAAGUAUACUCUCAGUAGUUGCAGCAAUUUAAUCUUUUUUUAGAGCAACUUUAGUCUUGCAGCGCCUCAACGGCUGAGCAUCAAUAUUCAAUGCAACAUUGUUUGUACCUCUUCUUGAUGACGCGGUGUGUUCGCCGCACUUCCUGUUCAUAAUUUAGGCUACAGUCCCUUAAAUCUACUCGACUGUUUUAUUUACGAUGUAGCCUUGAGCCUUUAUUGUUAUAUAAUAAACUAUGCAUUUAUUCCA
ensembl:lncRNA